rnacentral:rRNA from 1 species
GAUGAACGCUAGCUACAGGCUUAACACAUGCAAGUCGAGGGGAAACGACAUUGAAGCUUGCUUCGAUGGUCGUCGACCGGCGCACGGGUGAGUAACGCGUAUCCAACCUGCCUCUGACCAAGGGAUAACCCGUCGAAAGUCGGCCUAAUACCUUAUGCAGUCGUCGGAAGUCAUCUGAUGACGACGAAAGAUUUCAUCGGUGAGAGAUGGGGAUGCGUCUGAUUAGCUUGUUGGCGGGGUAACGGCCCACCAAGGCAACGAUCAGUAGGGGUUCUGAGAGGAAGGUCCCCCACAUUGGAACUGAGACACGGUCCAAACUCCUACGGGAGGCAGCAGUGAGGAAUAUUGGUCAAUGGGCGAGAGCCUGAACCAGCCAAGUAGCGUGCAGGAUGACGGCCCUAUGGGUUGUAAACUGCUUUUAUGCGGGGAUAAAGUGAGGGACGUGUCCUUCAUUGCAGGUACCGCACGAAUAAAGACCGGCUAAUUCCGU